GCACAGUGACCCAGUUAUUGGCAGGUAACAGCUGUGAUAACCAUACAACACUACUUCUGUGAUAUAAUACAAAAUGAUAUUGUUCAUUGACAAAUCUCUCUGCGUCUAAGUAUCCAAGUAGUCUCAGGGUCUCCUAAUUCUGCUGGAGCUGAUCCCAUUUGAGAUAGGGGGAGCCUUCUCAUACACAAGAUUUGAGAUUGUUGGAGAUGGUCGUAAUCUGAGUGACACUACUGAAGCUACCUGAUUAAUGCUAUACUUACCAGGAGACAAAACUCACCCUGUGAUCGUCGAACCACUGUCAGUAAUCUUUGAGAACUUGUGGCAGAUGACUGAAAUCCCAGAAGAGUGAAAAAACAGAAGUUGCAUAUGUCUUUAAAAAUAAAAACAGAAAGAUGGAGUAAACUAUAA